CGGUCCGCGGUAAUAAAAAGGUUGGGGACCGCUGUUCUAGUUACUGAAACAUUUUAACACUAGCUUAUGUUUGCUACAGAAGAAGAUGUUGUCCUGCAGCUGCUGCCAGUACUUCUCCCUGCUCUAACUUACACUUUUGGGAGAAGAGUUUCAGACCCAUCAACCUGGAAGUUCAGAAGGCGUCAUUGAUAUCCAGCCUGUAAGUCAACAUUCAUCUCUGAAUUAUGCUCAAAUUGUUUAAAUAAGUGCAUCACAUUCAGUAGUGAGGUUUUGUGUCAAACUACAAUCAGUCAGAAAUUAGUUUUUGAGAAUGUGGCUCUUUACCUUUAAAUUCACUAAAGGCCUGUUUUUGUGUCUUCUCUCCCUUGUUCUCAACAAAGAUCUUCUGUAUGGGCAAGAAGAGGAAGGAGCGGCCAUUUUCUCAACAAAAUGGAUUUUCUCCCUUAAGGUAUUGAAGCUCAAGAGAUGUUUUCUAAACUGUUUUUAACAUUAAACUUUUUAACACAAGCUUAUGUUUGCCAGACAGACAAGAUUAUGUAGCCCUGGAGCUGCUGCCAGUACUCCUCCCUACUUACACAUUUGGGAGAAGAGUUUCAGACCCAUCAACCUGGACGUUCAGAAGGUUUCAUUGAUAUCCAGCCUGUUGGGACAAACCUGGUGGCACAUCUACAAAAUGUGACAACCCGUAUGUCCUCAUGCAGGGAGACAGGCAAAAAUGCUAAAGUGUCAUUAAAAAUGCUCCUUGUUUAAUGGCUGAAAAUUUUACUUGUAAUUUGCUUCAAACAGACUUUUUCCAUGAAAUGUUUUCUAAUGUGUAGUAACAGAUACUUCUGGAGUUGUAGCCAAAUGAGUUGAAGUGAUUUAACUAUAUACUUUUGAAACAACUUACUUAUGUUUUGUGACUUUUGUAAAUGAAAUCUGCUGGCUCUAUAUGUAUCACGUGGAAAUAAAAAAAGCUUUAAAUUCA